UCAGAUUGUAGCCGGGCCUUUCACCAGAGGACCAGACGAUGUGCAGUAAUGAAAAAAGGAGACCAUCCAUCAUUUGGAUUUCCAGAUUAUAACGGACCACAGAACUUUCCCGAAGAAUGGCCACAACUUAAAGAAACUGUGACGAUAGUGUUGUACCUCUACUGUCGCAGACAAAUACCAUGAAAUGCUCCAUAGGCAAGACAGAGUAAUUGUCUAAUAGUCCAGCAAAAAGUGACACGAUUCAUCGCACAUAAAUGGGUUUUAGCACCCUAAUCCAGAGGUCGACUGUUUUCACUGUUCAAGUUUGCUGCAACUUUGUUGACAUAUCUUAGGAAGAUAUACUUGUAAUGGUACAUGCAUGUAAUGUUUAGCCAGAUUUAGAUAACUAUACAUGUUGGGUAAAUCAAUGCUGCAAAACUAUGCUUUGAGUUCAUCUCAACUAAAACACUUAGAACUGAAAAAAAUGUUUUUAUUUAAAAAAAAUUAAUAAAACGUCCCAAACAUUUAACACAGAGACAAAGACUUUUUUUUGUUUUGGACAUUACAAACAUGGAUGAUGAUGAGAUGAAUGGUGAAGCCGCAGUAUUUCCAUUUUGGUAUAUUGGACUACUUGACAGGGCCAUGCUCCACGCUUGUUGUCAGUUGAUAUCAGGCCUCAGACCACAAUUAAUUUCGCUGUAUAUUUCUAUAUAGCCUUAGUGGCUAUAACAUUUGUAUUAAUA